AUGGAGGGGAGUAAGAACAUGCAAGAGUCAGACACUGCAUCUGUUGUCAAAGUACCCAGGGAGCCUGCUAUCAUUAUCAAUGGUGUCCCAGACUUGCCUCCUGAUUUUGCAUCUGGUUCACAACCUGCAGUAAGAGAUGCUCCAGGAUCUCGAGUUGAUCAUCGCUUUGGUGAAUGGCUAGAAGGGCGGAAAGUGAGAAAGCAGUUUGGAGACAAGUAUUUUGCAGGGAAAGUUGUCAAGUAUGACAGUGAAAGCAAUUGGUACAGUGUUGUCUAUGAUGAUGGAGACCAGGAAGAUCUUGAAUGGCUUGAACUGGAGGAGAUCCUGCUACCAUUGGACAUAACCAUUCCACUCAGAAAACUUGUUAUGGACAAAUUCAAACAUCAGAAUGCUGUUCCUGACUACAGACUUAAGGGGGCUAGAUCAUCGCAAGGAACUAAUGGUGCUAGCAACCAGAUGGUGGUUAGAGCAGUAAAUGGCCAACAGUCAAACAACCUACCACAACCAGGGUUGCUUCAGGCGACCCCAUCAAAUGCAGAGACUGUCAGGGCAGAAAAACUGAAGAUGCAGAUCUCCAAAAGAAAAACUGAAGAGGUAUAUCAGCCUAAAAAAAGGGGCAGGCCUCGAAAGGAUAGAACUAUAUCAGUAUCAGGUGACAUUCAACCUAAAAAAAGAGGCAGACCUCCAAAAGAAAAGAACAUAUCUGGGGAGAGUAGUGUUCAUAAGCGCAAUGCAGAGACUGUCAGGGCAGAAAAACUAAAGAGAGAAAGCUUGCGUGUUCAAGGGGCAUAACCUAACAAUCAAUCUCACUGUUACAAUACAGAUAUUUCUAAAUAUUCCAGUCUAUGUAUGCUGGUGACACUAGCUUUCAAUGUACUUUGUACAACCCAGCGUACAACAAAACUUGUAAAGCUAUAUUUACUAUUCGAUUGCUACCAUAUUUCUUUUUUCCUAUACAAGUAUAUCUGCAAACUGUUUGAAA